rnacentral:rRNA from 1 species
GUCAUUUAGAGGAAGUAAAAGUCGUAACAAGGUUUCCGUAGGUGAACCUGCGGAAGGAUCAUUAAUGAAACUUCAAAGUCGGUCAAUUGUGCUGGUGACCCUGUCGCAGGUGCACAUAGGUCGCAAAUCCACACACACCUGUGCACCUCUGACCUUGAAGCUCGCUCGCUCAUCGAGCAGCCGGCUGCCCUCGUUGGUGGUCCGAGUUUUGGGGUAUUUACACACACGAAUGUAAUGGAAUGUCCAUCGUGCUUAACUGCACAUCUAAUACGACUUUCAACAACGGAUCUCUUGGCUCUCGCAUCGAUGAAGAACGCAGCGAAAUGCGAUAAGUAAUGUGAACUGCAGAAUUCAGUGAAUCAUCGAAUCUUUGAACGCACCUUGCACCCUCUGGUAUUCCGGAGGGUACGCCCGUUUGAGUGUCAUUGUAAUCUCACACCUCAGGAUUCUGUCUUCGAGGUAUGUGGACUUGGAUGCUGUCGCCUGACUGUGGCUCAUCUCAAAUGCAUGAGUGUACCCUGCUUUUUGUGGUGUAUUCGGUGUGAUAAGCAUUCUUCACCGGAGUUGGUCCCUAGGGGCACAUCGCAGUGGCUUGGCUCUACGCUUCCAACGGUCUUCGGACAAUGCUUGACAUUUGACUCAUCGGGGUGGGACUACCCGCUGAACUUAAGCUUUCAUAGC